rnacentral:rRNA from 1 species
GACGAACGCUGGCGGCGUGCCUAAUACAUGCAAGUCGAACGCAGUGGGGACGGGUGAGUAACAAGUGGGUAACCUACCAUCAGAGGGGAUAACCCUUGGAAACAGGUGCUAAACCGAUACUGAUGGAUGAACCCGCGGUGCAUUAGCUCGUUGGUGAGGUAACGGCUCACCAAGGCCACGAUGAAUAGCCGACCUGAGAGGGUGAGCGGCCACACUGAGACUGAGACACGGCCCAGACUCCUACGGUAGGCAGCAGUAGGGAAUCUUCGGAAAUGGACGAAAGUCUGACCGAGCAACGCCGCGUGAGUGAAGAAGGUUUUCGGAUCGUAAAACUCUGUUGUUAGAGAAGCGGUAUCUAACCAGAAGGCCACGGCUAACUACGUGCCAGCAACCGCGGUAAUUC